GGGUCUGCGUUUCAUUAGCUAGUUGGUAGGGUAAUGGCCUACCAAGGCAACGAUGAGUAGCUGGUCUGAGAGGAUGAUCAGCCACACUGGAACUGAAACACGGNCCAGACUCCUACGGGAGGCASCWSYGGAGUGAUACUAUCUGGCAUCUAUACUAGCGUGCCGUAACAGCCCUGACAGUCUACGCGACACAGCCCGUCGUCGCAGGGAUUGCAAGGCUUUGCGAGGUUCUGCUAAAGAGCGCUACGUGUUCCGAGAGAGUGUGAAGCACAGCUGGGGCAUUUGCGAUCCUCACAUGAACGUCUCAUCUAUAGAUAUCUGUGCACUGAGCUGACGCCUGUCUUUA
rnacentral:rRNA from 1 species